rnacentral:lncRNA from 1 species
CUGUAAGUGUAAAUUACUCCCUCCCAGCUGACGCGCAAAAGGUAGCGCCUCUAGCUAAGCUAACCAAUUGGAGCGUGCUACCUGCUGCUAGCCUCAGCUCCGGGCAGAGUGGAUCAGUGCAGUGACUGAGCAUUGCAACUUGCCCUCAUUUCCUUGGUCCUGCGACUACUAACUGAUUCGAGGGAAAGCUUCAUCAACCCAUGCAUGCCUGGAAAGCAUGCAUACAGUAAGUUUUAACUGAUUAGUUUUCUCUCCCCUUUACUUAGUGGACUCAAUGUUCGUGCGUACGCAUCGCAUUGAUAUAAUGAUAUAUAU